rnacentral:lncRNA from 1 species
UAUGACUCAAUAAAAAUAUUGUAAAAAACCAAACCAAUCAAACCAAUCCAAACCGCAUGGUUUGGUUUGAUUUUAUUUCUAAAAACCAACCGAACCAAACCAAACCGCAUGCUUUUUUCUCUUGCAGUUCGGAUGAUUUUUCUUAUCAAAACCGCCCAAACCGGACCGCGAACACCCCUAAAUACUGCGAAUCUCAUACAUAGCUUACAUCAAAGAGAAAUGGAUACUGUAAUACUGGUCUUGUUACCAUCAAAAUUAAGCUACCACAAUCAAGCAUUUAAGUUUCAAUGUUAUAAAAUUAUAAAACAUCUUAAACUUCAUUCACUAUAGCAGAAAAUAGGAAAGAAACAAAACUCUACCACUCCCAACAAAACCAUACCCUUUCAAUGGGAACUGAGAACUAGUUUUCACUUAAAGCACUUGGCAUCAAAAGAGCCUCUCCCUCAAAUGGUUCAAAAUCUUCAAUCAUCCUGACUAACUCGCUCUUUCUGAGCUUCGUCAGAGAUGUCAACCUUGGUCCACUCAUAGAGCUCCAUGUCAUAGCAUUCAUCCAAUGAAAACUUUGGAAUCUCCUGUCCACGGAAAAGCCACAACCCUUUCACCUUAAAUGGAGCCGCUGAUCCAAUCACAAGCAUCUUUCCAAAUGCAUACUUGCGAGCCAGAUCCAUCCUCUGAAGAAACCCACCAACCUUGUUCAGUGUCACGAAAGAAACGGUAUUCUCAUCUUGGUAUUUGUAAUCACAGAACCAGAGAGAAUAUCCCUCUGGAUCAUACAUGUCCCAGAAUCCUGCAAGUCAAACAAAGGUAUAAAAAUGUCAUUCUGUGCUACAGUGUACACAGGAUAAAAAGAAUCAGAGUUCCCCAAAACAAUAGUAGUAUAUUUCCAAGGGAUGUAAGCUACAAUCAUAAUUCUAGAAGCUACAACAAUUUGGGGAAAAUACAACAAGAUCAAGCUACAAAAUUUUGAAAAAUACAAACCACGGGAGCAAGGGGGCAAAAAUCACAAUACCUUUGAUUGCAACCUCACGGAAGUUUGACUUAGUGUUAGAGUAAAGUCUUUUCCACUCAUCCAAUAUCAUCUUGCUUGGGGGAAGAAGAUCAAGAGGAUUCUUUGCCUUAGGCUUGGGUGCCUCCUCUUCAGCUUCUUCUACUUUGGGCUUUGCGGGCUCUGAUUUAACCACUUUCUUGGGUUCAUCUUUAGUUUUGGGCUUAGAUUCCUUAGGCUUCUGAGCAGAUGGAAUAGGUGGCAAAGCUUCAGUCUGCUUAACCUGGCCUAUUAUCUUUCGGAAGUUUGGCUGAUUGACCAAGGUCCAGAAGUAUCUCUCAACAUGAGGAAACUCUGAGGUGAAGCUCUUGACCAAGAGUUUGGAGAAACCAAGCAACAUGUUGGAUGUUGUUAUAAUAUCAGCAAGGGUAACAGAAUCCCCAACCAGGUAGGUAUUGUGGGCAAGGUGAGUGUUAAGAGCCUCAAAUGCUCUCUUCAAUGAAGAAAAUGCAGACUCCUCCACCUUCAUUUAGAUACAAAUUUCAAAAGGAAAAAAAUAUUCAAUAAAAGGGGAAGAUAACAGGUAUUACAAAGACGGGAUAAAGAACAGUGAACUAAGUACCUGUUUACUUUGUGAAAUCAAUUUCUACUUUAAGUUCUUAAUUGUUAGUUUUGCUCGUUAACAAUGAAAAGAGACUUUUCAUGUGAGUCAUUGUGAUAAAAAAGAUAAAAUAUCAUCAUCCAUUUCAGGAAAAUAAUGAAAAUAGCUCUUUUGAAAUAGAAAUGGAAGACUAUUGUUCACUUCAAGAAUCUUUAUUCUCCUUGUUAACAAGGAAAACCAAGACAAAUUUCCAGUUGAAGCUAUUUUCACAAAGUAAAUAGGUACUUAGGAUUAAAUUUUGGAGUUACAACCAACCAAACCAAUUGAUUUCAGAAUAUUCCUAUCAUAACUUGCUAAUAGUUGCCACAACUCAAUAAUAUUAUAUAAUUGCUAUCCAUACUCAAGAUUAGAAACUUAACCAAAUAAAACAGCAACUAAUGUAUAAAAAAACUAAUAUUGCACAAAACUUACAAGAGGAAUGAAGGGGGCAUGUCCAAGUCUUGGAAUAUACAACUUCAAAAGAUUGGCAUCAAUCUCCAAUGAAGAAAAAUCAAUCCACUGAUCAACAUGAGCCUGAAUGACCAGAAUACAAAUAGAACAUGACAUGAUGUCACUUUCAAGAAGUCGCAUUAAAACAUGCAUGGAAGAUAAACCAAGUAUAUUAAUUAAUAACCAUAACUCAACACAUGGAAAUAUCAUAACAAAAUGUGAACCUGAUCAAUGGGAGAAGAUCCAAACAAAUUGUUUUCACCCAAUCGAGCAACUGCAGCAAACCCAAACCCAAGCAAAAGUAAAUAACAACAACAUUACAACGAUGAACAGAUGCAUAAAUAGAUAUGUUUAAGCACUAGUCAUACCAUGACGCGCAAUUGCAUUGCUCUCAAAGACGGCACCUUCCGGGGUUUCCAAGACCGGAAUCUGGAAAUAGAUAACAGAACAUUAAGUAAAAGGAAAAUCGAGAUUUUAUAUUUAUAAGGGAGAAAUCGAGGAUGCAUGGAUAAUCCACCUUUCCAAUAGGGUUCAACUUGAGAAAGUGAGGGGUUUUAUUAGAGACACCCAUCUGAAAAUCUGGUGCCAAUUCAACUUUGACACCAACAUACUCUGCAGCAAUCAGAGUCUUGUAAACAUUUUUGUUUGUCUGGGUGGCGUGGAGGAUCUACAGAAUAAACAAUUACAGGAAAUUGCAAUCAGAACAGUUGAAUGAUGAAAUAAUCAAGUAAUCAAAAUGUAAAUGAACUAACCAGAGCCAUGGGUUUGUUGAGAUCUGAUCAGAAAAAGAAAACAGUAUAAAUCUGAGUUAAGUAGCAUUUCAAUUGUACAGUAAAAGAAAUGCAAAAAUGAGAAACGAGAUUGCACUUACAGUGAUGGAAGGGAGGAACGAGAGUUUCGGGAAGCAGGACUCUCAAUUCCUGUGAGCGUUAAGGAAUGAGGAUCAAUGAAUCAAUGGUGAGUCGAAAGGAGAAGACAGUACAAAACUAGGUUUUCUGAUAUACUGGUGCGAUGCCUCUAAACCCUAAAAUGGGUCGGGUUGGAAACGGCCCACAACUCAUAAGCCCUUCCCGUUUUCUAUUUUUCGUACACAACUGAUAAGCCCUUCCCGUUUUCUAUUUUUCGUACCCGUAAUUGCAAAUAUCUUGUUUUGUUUUAUCUUUUUAAAUUUUGACCAAAGAUUAUUUUUAAAAAAAGGAAAAAUAUAUAUUGUGGUUAGGGUUUUCAAAUAUAAAUGGAUUCAAAUAAAAAUUAUAAUUCAAAUAAAAAAAAUUAAAAACCGUAAAAAAAAUGAAUAAUAUUCUAUGUGUUUGGAUAUUAUUUUGUAAAAAUUGUUCGAUUUGGAUCGGAUUUCAAAUUGAUUUUUCAAAAUCAAAUCGAACUACGUCUAUAUAUUUUUAGAGAUUAAAGGUAGUGCAUUACACUAAUCUCCAAUCAAAAUAUUUUAAAUUGUCAAAUCAUAACAGUAUUUUAAAAAUAAAAGUGUGAUGUGGUGGGAUACAUGAGUCUCAUUGGUUGACAGUGUAAAUAUAUUUUACACUGUCGGUGCAUAUUUCUUUUUCUCAUGUUUUUAUUCUGAUAUGUUGUUAUAAUUUAUUAUUUUUAGUUUAAUUUAAUCUAUUUAUUUUUAUUAUUUCAUUUGUUUCAAGCAUAAUCUAUCAUUUUUAUUUUGUAAUGUUAAUUUUUAAUAUAUUAUAUAUUAUGUAUUAUGUAUUAUAUUAAUUUUUUUAUAGUUGUUUUAGAAUCUUAAAAAAAUAUACAUGAUUUAUAUUUUUGGAUAUCCAAAAACCGAUCUAAAUUAAACUGCAUGAAUUGGAUUGAAUGAAAUUAGAUUCAAAUCGAACGACAAACAUCUCUAAUUAUGAUAGUCUAAAAUCAUUGUCGAUCAUUCCAUUACUAAUUAACUUAUAUGAUGACGGUCAAUAUUGUUUUUGAAAUUAUGAAAACAAAUAACUAAAUUUUUUAAAAUAUUAAAUAUUUACUUUAUAAAUAUAACAAAAACGUCUAAAAAUAAAUUUAUUAAAAAAAUAUAUGUAGGCAUUGGUAUUAUAAUAUAUUAUUUUAAUUUAAUAAUAAUAAAUAUAAUAUUUCUGAGAGCCUAAAGAAAGAUAUGAGGUCAAAAUCUAAAAAACUUACUUAUCAAGAAUGAUGAAAAUAUUUUUUUCCUUCAUUCACUCUAAUAAAAAUAUUAAUGUUGAAUUUAUGUAAGACUAAGGAGAUAAGCGAGAUAGUGUUGGUAAAAAAACACUUAAUUUUGGUUUAUAAGAAGUAAAAAAUUCAAAAGAAAGUAUUGAUAUUUCUAGGUUUAAUAUAUUUUUUUGUCUCUUAUGUUUUGUGUAAGAUUCGUUUUGGUCCCUUAAUUUUAAAAAGAACCAUUUUGAUCCUCAGUUAUUCAAAGUGGUUCACGUUUAUCCUUAUUUUCCAAAAUAUUAGUCAAAGUAAAUUGAGAUGCAAAGGUGACACACACGUGUAUUAGUUAUAAUGAACUAACAAUGUCAUACAUAAAACCUCACAUUUCUUUGAAGUUCUCUCAAAUAUAGAUUUCUCAUCUUUCUCACAUUUCUCUGAAGUUCUCUCAAACCCCACUCUGUAGAAUGACGAAUCGUUGAAGAACGAAUAGAGUGAAUUGUUGAAGAACGAAGAAAGCACAAAGAAAAGGGAUUUCUGAAGAGAAUACUGGGAAUGCUCUUUUUCUUCUUUUUAAUCUUCUCCCAAUUCUAUUUUAAGGUUCAUCUCGAUUUGCAUUUUAGGGGUUGUCAUGUAUUUAGGGUUUUGUGUUCCUGAUUCAAAAUAUUGUAAUUUUUAGGUAUAUUAUGCAUGAAUAUGUGCAUGUAGUUAUACAUCAUGAGGUUUUUUUUGAAGCUAAUGGUGAGUCAUGUUGUGGGGGUUCAGUUACCGGGGUGAAGUGUGAUGUUGAUAAGUGGAGUUAUUUUGAGGUGUUAGAGAUUGUUAAAGAAUUGGGAUAUGAGGAAUCUAGAACAGUAAUAUACAAGGACUUAACAAUUGGUUUGUUUACUUUGAGUGAUGAUAAAGGUGUCCAAGAGAUAAUUGAUUUAUGUAAGGUGCAUAAGAGUGUUUAUUUGUAUGUGCAACAUUCAGUUUCUCAACUUGAUUAUUACGAUGGACCUAUAGAAGAUGAAACUUAAAACAUAGUUAAUGUUGGAGAAUUGCCAUCCAAGGCGCAGCGGAAUUUAAAAUUUCUCCAUUUAGUGAUCCUUACGAAUGGGCAUGAUCAGUGAUAGAAUCGUUACCUCUUGUGGCGAUUCAAACCUUUGCUGCAGAUCUCUGAUAAUGAUCAAAACCUUUGAUACAGUCCCGGGCGAUCACGAACGUUGAACAUGACAACGUCUCUACUCAGUCCACACGAACGGAUUCUUCAUCGAGUGCUAGCUGUUAUGAAUGAAGGCUUUGAGUGAGAGAGAGAUACGAAAUUCCAACUCUUCAGUUGUGUUUUCUGUCUCAGUGAGUUACAAUGCUUCUACCCAAGGGUUCUAUCUAUAGAACCACUUGUGUGGGCUUCAAGCCAAAAAACCCACUUAGUGCAUUUUGGUCCAUAUCUCAUAAAUCCCAAAAUCACUUAAGUACUUGGUACUUACCAUAUUUCGUAUUUACUUAAGUACACCGUACCUUAUGAUGUUCCUUAAUUAUUCUAUCUCUCAUCAAUCCAUCCUUUGUGUGUGACCCUAUAGGUUUUCGCGACGUUGGCAAUUAUAUUAAAUCACGCAUUAAACAUAAUAAAACGUGAGCGGUAUCUAGCAACACUCACUGCUACCCAAGUCACGAAAAUGUCAUGUGAUCUGACAAAACCUCCUGUGAUAAUAAUUAUGUGUAUAAUUACCCUUUGCCUUAUGUCUAUAUUGAACACAAGGUAUAGACCGUGUCACCUUGUCCAUUCAAUAUUGGGCCCAUAGACAUUUAUCCUGUAGCAGGAUGGGCAAAUUCCAUCUAGGACAACUCAUGUCCCUCAGCAUGCUUCGUGAGUACCCAUCAAUUGUCUUUAUGGUUAUCCAGUUACGGACAACGUUGGAUCAGCAAUAAAGCACUCGACUCUACAUCUGGAUCCUAGUGGUUUCAGGUCGAAGAGUGUUAUACACUAUUAUACACCAUGAGAAUAACUUAUGACACUUGCAUAACUUUCUAUAUAGUAUUCUCAUAGUGGGUCAAUCCGGUAUAAAAUAUUACUCCUAAUAUUCAUACCUAUGUUUAAGACUUGAUAACUCUUUAUCCAUGAUCCAUGAGAUGUGAUCAUCAGUCUACAAACAUAAUAGUCUUAAUGCUUUAAUGUUAUCCCACUUCAUACUAAAGCUCGACUACGGAUACUUUAAGAAUAGUGUCCUCAUGUUCAAUGUGUUUCAUGAUUAAGUCACACUUAAUACAUUAAACGGACUAUCUAUUCCAGGGACUUUAUUAAUCAACCAUAAUAAAGAAAAAGCCUUUAAAUAAUUCGAUACAAGUACCAAAAGUAUUGGCCUCUAGGGCUUAUACCAACAGUUAAUGUUGUAGUUAAUGUUGAUGAAAUUGAAGAUGUCACUGGAAAACUAGUUGAAGAAGUUCUCAAUGGUAAAGCAGAUGGUGUAAGUGACUUGAAUAAGACUGAGGUUGGAGGCACAAUUAUUUAUGUUAAUGAGGCUGAUGAUAUGAGUGAGGGCGAGGUAAAAGAUAUUAGUGUUGAUGUUAAUGAGGUUAAGGAUAUGAGUGUGGGUGUGGUACGAGAUAAUAAUGUUUGUGUUAAUGAGACUGAAGAUAUGAGUGAGGGUGGGGUAGGAGAUAAUCAUGUUGAUGUUAAUGGGGUUGAUGAUAUAAGCGAUAGUGAUGAUGUGAGUUUCCAGUAUGACAGUACUUUAGAUGUUGCCUUUCAAGAUUCAGAUGAAGACGGUGAUGGUUUAGUGGAAGAGGAUAUUACACAUCUAUUGGGUUAUGACAAAGAGGCGGAAGGUAAAGGCAAAAAAUAUAGUAAGGAAUGUGAAGGUGCUAGUGAGAAAUGUGAAGGUGCUAGUGAGGAAUUUGAGAGUGUGUGUGAAACUGAUGAUGAAAGUAACUGUUAUAGGAAGAAGUAUCUUGUUUUCAAAAUGCCCAAAAACAUGUCAGACUACAAAUGGGGAUUAGGAACCUAUUUUGCAAUAAAGAAUUAUUUUAAGGAGGCAAUUACUUCAUAUGUAGUCCAAUCAGGAAGGUAUUUGAGGUUCUCUAAAAAUGAUAAACAAAGGAUAAACGUGAUAUGUAAAGAUUCUUGGUAAUUUACCAUGUGAAGAUUUUUGGCAAUUGAGAAAAUUGAUGGAUAAGCAUAACUGUAGUAGAUCAUAUAAUGUGAAGCUCAUGACUACAAAGUGGUUAAGUAAAAGAAUUCAAAACUCUUUGAAAGAUAAUCUAAAUUUGAAAAUCAGGGACAUCAAGGAAAAAUCCCAAAGGAAAUAAAAUGUUGGUGUAAACAAGACUAAGGAUGUUAGGGCUAGGUGUGCAGCAAGAGGAUUGAUUGAUGGCUUUUUUCUAGAACAGUAUACCAGAAUCUAUGACUAUAUAAAGUACAAAUAUUGACAGCCAUAGGAAAUGACAUUUGGACAUGGUUUUUAGAACUAUUGAUUGAUGAUCUUGGAGGUAGAAACCAAUGUUAUACAUACACCUUCAUCUCAGACCAACAGAAGGUAUUGAAUUUGUGAUAAUUAAUCUCUUGUAUUUAUUUUGUGCAUGACUAUAAUGUUUUGAAUUUGUGAUAAUGAAUCUCUUGUAUUUAUUUGUUAGGGUCUCUUGCCAUAUAUGGACGAGCUUUUACCGGCUGUGGAACAUAGGUUUUGCGCACGCCAUUUGUACAACAAUUUUAGAAAGAGAUUUCCUAGAAAGAAGUUGAAAGAGAUUAUAUGGAAAACUGCUAAGUCAAUAUAUUUACAAUCCUGAGAAAGGGGAAUGAGAGAAACGAAAGAUGUUAAUGAGGAAGCAUUCAAGCACAUGAUGAAAACACCUCCUAGAUUUUGGAGUAAAUCUCAAUUCAAAAUAAUCUCUAAGUGUGAUAGCAUGUUGAACAACAUGCCAAAGGCCUUCAAUAGUGUUAUUAUUGAAGCAAGAGUUAAGCCUAUAGUGACCAUGCUAGAAGAGAUCAGAACAUACAUAAUGGAAAGGUGAGCAAAAAAUAGAAUGAGAUUUGCAAACUUUACUGAUGAUGACACCUCUUCAACACAUCAAAUAUCAAUAAUAAAUAAAUAAAAGUUAUAUAUAUAUAUAUAUAUAUAUAUAUAUAUAUAUAUAUAUAUAUAUAUAUAUAUAUAUAUAUUAUAUAAUCGCUUCUGUCAUAAAAGGUAUGUCACUUGGUCGGGAUAAUCGGUAAGCAUUGAUCAGUCAAUGGGCCCUCCAAGGAACUCUCUGUUAGUGUGCACUGAUGGCUUCGUCGAGGCAGAGUCGUAACCUUUGUAUCAUUAGUAGCAGUAGCCUCGACGUCACCUGUCUCAACUUCAACGGAAAUAACGAUAACAUUUGUCUCGGUCUCAGCAGCAAUAGGGGCCACACCUGUCUCGGCCUCAACAGCAAUAGGGGUCGCAUCUGUCUCGGCGUUGGAUGAUAUGAGGUGCACGUAAUGACUGCUCAGUCAUCCGUUUCUGGUGAAAAUCGGUUUGAACUACUCUCCAUACCCGUAACUGCGAAGAUUGUGCCUCAGCUGCCCUAGCACAGACUAUCGAUGCCUCUCUUUGUGACCCUCGAAGCAAUAUUGUUGUCCUUUCCCCUAGUCCUCACUAAAAAAUAAAAAAAAAUUCAAAAAAACAAUUAACUAACUGAAAUUUCAAAAUUUUCCAAUAAAUUAUAGCUAUUUUCGACAAUUUCAAAUUUUUCGAUACUAUUUUUAAAAUUUUGAAUUACUGACAUUUUCAAAAUUUCUGAUAUAAAUAUGAGUUUUUAUCCAAAAUUUCAAAAUUACUUGUAAAAACUCAUAUUUGUAUGCCAGCAUUUUUAAAAUUCACAUAUAAAUACACGAGUUUUUUUAUAAAAACUCAUGAAAGUUGUGAUUUUUUACCGGAUAUUGUAACAUGAUAAGAACUCAAAAAAUUUUAACAGAAAAUUAUAAAAUUUCUAGUAAGAACUCGCGAAAGUUGAAAAAACUCUUAGCUUAAAUGAAAUUUCUAGUAUGAAUUUGCAAAUUUUCGAUAUCGCCGAUCAACUUUUAAUAAAUGCAAAAAUUGAGUAAAUUUGAAAAUAUGAUUUCAACAUCAUUCAAUGUGUAGAAAUGUCAGGAUAUAAAUUAGGAGGAAAAGAGAUAGUUGGCUAGUAGCAUCGGCUUACACAUUCUGUUUACCCAUUCAACUUUACUUCUCAAAAAAGUGCAGAAAAUGGAGGGAAAAAAAUGUCAUUUCAUCGUUUUUCCUAUAAUAAACCCCUCGAGCACAAGAACAAAGCAGAUGGCAUCAAUACAGCGAAUCUCAUACAUGCUUAUCUUACAUCAAAGAAAAAUGGAUCUUGUAAUACUGGUCUUGUUACCAUCAAAAUUAAGCUACCACAAUCAAGCAUUUAAGUUUCAAUGUUAUAAAAUCAUAAAACAUCUUAAACUUCAUUCACUAUAGCAGAAAAUAGGAAAGAAACAAAACUCUACCACUCCCAACAAAACCAUACCCUUUCAAUGGGAACUGAGAACUAGUUUUCACUUAAAGCACUUG